GAUAUGAUUGUGUAUUAGAAAAAGAUGGAGUUGCAUUAAUUCCCAUUAGAGACCAUAAGCAUAAUUAAUCUAUUUGCACUUGAUAUGUAUCUUGUCUUUUCUUCUAAACGGUAUCCAUCGCAAGAUCUCUUCAGUAGAUAUUGUCUUCAACCACUAUCUUAAAGCGAUUGAAAAUCUAUAUAUGAUAUAUCACCAAUAAUGUUGGUCAUACAUAUUUUAUAUUUGUACUAUUGCAAAGCUACCAAUAUUGUUGGUCAUACAUAUUUUAUAUUUGUCUAGCUUGAGCUUAAGUUAUAUGCACUGUCAGUUUUAAUUGCCUAAAUGUAACACAUAUAUGGUUGGUGAUUCAGCUCUAUAUAUACCCCCAUGAGUA
rnacentral:lncRNA from 1 species